rnacentral:rRNA from 1 species
CGCGUAGGCGGCGCGACAAGUCAAUGGUGAAAGCCCGAGGCUCAACUUCGGGUCGGCCACUGAUACUGUUGGGCUUGAGCACUGUAGAGGCAGGUGGAAUUCCGGGUGUAGCGGUGGAAUGCGUAGAGAUCCGGAAGAACACCGGUGGCGAAGGCGGCCUGCUGGGCAGUAGCUGACGCUGAUGCGCGACAGCGUGGGGAGCAAACAGGAUUAGAUACCCUGGUAGUCCACGCCGUAAACGAUGGGCACUAGGUGCUUGGGGGAGCGACCCUCUGAGUGCCGGCGCUAACGCAUUAAGUGCCCCGCCUGGGGAGUACGGCCGCAAGGCUGAA